AAUAGUGAAUUAAUUUUUUACCAAAUGAAUAUUUUUUUUCAGAAAUUGAAUAGUUUAGACUCCGAUUCCAACCACUAUUCCCGUACUAUACGACAAUAGAUCGAAACCUCGUUACUGAAAUAUAUUUCACCAGAAGUUAUCGUCUACGUAUAUGUGUGGGACUCCGCCUAGAGUUUGUAAUUCUUGAGAAGCGCCUUUACCUUGGAGAAUAUAUAUCCCGUUCUUA